UUUGGACAAUGGGGGAAACCCUGAUCCCGCCAUCCCGCGUGCAUGUUGAAGGCCUUCGGGUUGUAAAGCACUCUUUCCUGUGAAGAAAUGGUAACUCCUAAUACGAGGUACUGCUGACGGUAGCUGCAGACGCAGGACCGGCCAACUACGUUCCAGCAGCCGCGGUAAUACGUAGGGUGCAAGCGUUAAUCGGAAUUACUGGGCGUAAAGCGUGUGUAGGCGGUUCGGAAAGAAAGAUGUGAAAUCCCAGGGCUCAACCUUGGAACUGCAUUUUUAACUGCCGAGCUAGAGUAUGGCAGAGGGGGGUAGAAUUCCACGUGUAGCAGUGAAAUGCGUAGAUAUGUGGAGGAAUACCGAUGGCGAAGGCAGCCCCCUGGGAUAAUACUGACGCUCAGACACGAAAGCGUGGGGAGCAAACAG
rnacentral:rRNA from 1 species